rnacentral:rRNA from 1 species
CUCCUACGGGAGGCUGCAGUGGGGAAUCUUGCACAAUGGGGGAAACCCUGAUGCAGCGACGCCGCGUGAGCGAUGAAGCCCUUCGGGGUGUAAAGCUCUUUCGGCAGGGAAGAUGAUGACGGUACCUGCAGAAGCAGCUGCGGCUAACUACGUGCCAGCAGCCGCGGUAAUACGUAGGCAGCAAGCGUUGUUCGGAGUUACUGGGCGUAAAGGGUGUGUAGGCGGUUCUUUAAGUUUGGUGUGAAAUCUCCCGGCUCAACUGGGAGGGUGCGCCGAAUACUGAGGGACUCGAGUGCGGGAGAGGAAAGUGGAAUUCCUGGUGUAGCGGUGAAAUGCGUAGAUAUCAGGAGGAACACCGGUGGUGUAAACGGCUUUCUGGACCGUAACUGACGCUGAGACACGAAAGCGUGGGUAGCAAACAGGAUUAGAUACCCUGGUAGUCCACGCCCUAAACGAUGCAUAUUUGGUGUGGGUCAUUCAGUUGAUCCGUGCCGGAGCUAACGCGUUAAAUAUGCCGCCUGGGGAGUACAGUCGCAAGGCUGAAACUCAAAGGAAUUGACGGGGGCCCGCACAAGCGGUGGAGCAUGUGGUUCAAUUCGACGCAACGCGAAGAACCUUACCUGGGCUCGAACGG